UUAGACUUUGACUUAUCGGUUGAAACUCCGUUAAGAGAAACCUUAAUUACAUGUGCUAUCCAAGUCUUGGAUGAGAGUCACAGUUUUGAAUGAUAUUUCUAUCGUUAAUAAAUUUCCUGACGUAUUUUUGAAGACUUCUUAGCCUACCCCUAGAGCGUGAAAUCGAAUUUUGUAUUGACCCCAGUACAAAACCCAUUUCUAAAACCCUCAAAUAUUUCU
rnacentral:lncRNA from 1 species